AUAAAUUUAGUUAUAAAUUAGAUAUUUUUGAAAAAUCAGGACAAAUCAGGACAUUUUAAGGCCAUUUUUAAAAAAUCAGGACAAUUCAAGCGUUUUUGAAAAAUCAGGACGGCCUCUCGAAAAUCAGGACAAAUCCUGAUAAAUCAGGACACCUGACGCCCCUGCCAGGAGCACAAGCAGCAGGUUUUGAUGGCAGUCGGCCGGAUGAAACAGUUCGCCAUGUUCCGGAUGAGGUGCCUCACGACAACAACGGCCACGUCUGGCCCAGCUUCUGUACACUGUUUUCGCUGGGUACGCGGAGACGGGGAAGAGGAAGUUUUUACACUACCGACCAGAAGAUGACGGCGAACCUCCAAAAGUACCGGGAAUAUUUCCUCGGUAUCAGGAAUCUUCCUCGCAACCGGAGGCCAGAAUCUGGUGCUUUAUCGGAUCACCAUCCAUUAACCGUAACAUUUCCAGCAUAUGAAAUCGAUUAAUGCUGCCAAAUUAACCAAGAUGUCCAACCAAGAUGACCCCUUCAGACAUUUUUUUUGCGCCGAGCCUGGAUUGCGAAUUGGCAGGAACUCGAAGGAGAAAACCGUAUGUUUAAGCUACAGUGAUAGCCAGAAAAUGUGCCAGGGAGUUAGGUUGAGCAGUUCCGGGAAUAGUAGAGAACCUUCAUACAUAAGAUCAUGAAAUA